AAUAAAAUGCCUGAUAAAGGGUUAUCUUGAUAGGAUAAAUCAUGUAAUAGUUAUUACUUUUAUUA
rnacentral:tRNA from 1 species